rnacentral:rRNA from 1 species
GACGAACGCUGGCGGCGUGCCUAAUACAUGCAAGUAGGACGCAGUUGCGAACGGGUGAGUAACGCGUAGGUAACUGCCUAUUAGAGGGGGAUAACUAUUGGAAACGAUAGCUAAUACCGCAUACUAGUAGAUGGACCUGCGUUGUAUUAGCUAGUAGGUUGGGUAAUGGCCUACCUAGGCAACGAUACCUAGCCGAGCUGGGGGGGUGAUCGGCCAAACUGGGACUGAGACACGGCCCAGACUCCGACGGGAGGCAGCAGUAGGGAAUUUUCGGCAAUGGGGGGAAACCUGAACGCGCAAAGCCGCGUGAGUGAAGAAGGUUUUCGGAUCGGAAAGCUCUGUUGUUAAGGAAGCGGUACUUAACCAGAAAGGGACGGCUAACUACGUGCCAGCCGCCGCGGUAAUAC